rnacentral:tRNA from 1 species
UAAGGGAGACCGAACCCAUCAAUAACCGAAAGCAAACAGCUUCUAGGUAGAAUUGAUGAGGUCAUCCUAGGUCGCAGCGAAGUGAAGUAGUGUGGCUUUCUAACUAUAAUUAGGUUUGGCAAAGGGGCUAUUAGCUCAGGUGGUUAGAACGCACCCCUGAUAAGGGUGAGGUCCCUGGUUCGAGUCCAGGAUGGCCCACCUAAGAGUAGUUAUGAGUAUUGAGGGAUGAGUGCUUAAUUUGUAACUCAAGACUGAAAGCUCAAAACUAGGAAAGAGGGGGUAUAGCUCAGUUGGUAGAGCGCCUGCUUUGCAAGCAGGAUGUCAGCGGUUCGAGUCCGCUUACCUCCACAUGAGUAGCAGCCAAAAUUACAGAGCAAGAAUAAUUCAGCACCUAGACAAAAAACAAGUUGUCGGCAUGCUGAAUAGAUUAUUCAGUCAGAACCUUGAAAACUGCAUAGCAACAACAAUAGCAGGCAGAUACCAAAAGUAUCUGAAUGAAAAACU